UCAUUAGAAGGUGCAGCUGGUUCACAAUGAGGAGCACCUGUACUCAUCUAAUCAACUCCUCCAUAAAACCCUGGUCAUGUUCACACUCCAGUGCCAGAUAAUUCCGUCUCACUCGUGUCUGCUCGAGCCAGCCUGAGUCCUGCCACCGCCACCAGCGAGAACUAGAUCCACCUUCAUUUUGUGGAUUGUUUUUUAGUUGCUCCUUUUUUCCUUAAUUAAACUUUGUUAAAAGACUGAA